AUUAUCAUUCAUUUUCUUAGCUAAACCCAGAAAUUUUAUUUCUGAAAUUUGACAUUGACAAUGCAGAUGUCGGCGAUGACUACGAUGUUUCUAGUUUACCAACAUUUAUAAUCUUUCAGAAUGGUGAAAUUGUGGACAGGUUUUCUGGAGCUAACAUUAAAAAAGUUGAAGAAAUGGUAGAAAAAAUUAAAUUAUCAGCUAAGGCAAAUGUAAAUUAAUUAUCAACAAGUUCUGCAUAUAUUUUUGUUCAAUUUGUUAUUCACUUUUUUAAAUAUGACGUACUUGUGUUAGUGACCGUUGCAACUGACAGUUAACACUAUAUAUCAUGUAAAAUUCUUUGACCUACCAGUGUUAAUCCUGAUGAAUUCUAAAUAGUAUAUUGUUUUAUUUUCUAUAGAAAAAAAUAAAAUUUACUCUUCAGUAUACAGUAUCAAAUGUA